rnacentral:lncRNA from 1 species
AGUGUAGAUUCUAAGUCUUUAGUGGAGUGGGUUCAAUACCCACAUAUUGCAUUUUCUUUAUUUCUUUUAGCAUUCAUUUUUUUUCUAUGUUUGUGUUUUAUUAUAAUUUCACCCAUACUCGUAGUUGUAUUAUUGUUUAAUAACACAAAAUCUGUUUUUUUAUUAAUUUCAUCAUUCAUUCAAAACCAUUUUAAACUAUUAAAA